rnacentral:rRNA from 1 species
UAAAACUUAUAAAAUUAGGUAGUAAAGAGAUUUCCGAAACCUAAAGAAUUUGGCGGUAUUUUAAAUAAUUGGAGGAACCUGUUAUUUAAUUGACAAUCCACAACAUAUCUUACCUAGAUUUUAUUUGUAUAUCGUCGUUUUGAUAAUAUUUAAAAAUAAUAAUCAAUUUUAAUAAAUUUUUAAAUUCAGAUCAAGGUGCAGUAUAUUUAGGUUAUAAUGGGUUACAAUAUAUUUAUAUAUAAUGAAUAUAAAAUUGAAAAUAUAUUGAAGGUGGAUUCAAAAGUAAAAUUAAAUUAAAAAGUUAAUUUGAUUGAUAAUUUAAAAUAUGC